rnacentral:rRNA from 1 species
GAGUGAAGCGGCAACAGCUCAAAUUUGAAAUCUGGCUCUUUCAGAGUCCGAGUUGUAAUUUGCAGAGGGCGCUUUGGCGUUGGCAGCGGUCCAAGUUCUUUGGAACAGGACGUCACAGAGGGUGAGAAUCCCGUACGUGGUCGCUAGCCUUCGCCGUGUAAAGCCCCUUCGACGAGUCGAGUUGUUUGGGAAUGCAGCUCUAAAUGGGAGGUAAAUUUCUUCUAAAGCUAAAUACUGGCCAGAGACCGAUAGCGCACAAGUAGAGUGAUCGAAAGAUGAAAAGCACUUUGGAAAGAGAGUCAAAUAGCACGUGAAAUUGUUGAAAGGGAAGCGCUUGCAGCCAGACUUGCCUGUAGUUGCUUAUCUGGACUUUUGUCCGGUGCACUCUUCUAUAGGCAGGCCAGCAUCAGUUUGGGCGGUUGGAUAAAGGUCUCUGUCAUGUACCUCCUUUCGGGGAGGCCUUAUAGGGGAGACGACAUGCAACCAGCCUGGACUGAGGUCCGCGCAUCUGCUAGGAUGCUGGCGUAAUGGCUGUAAGCGGCCCGUCUUGAAACACGGACCAAGGAGUCUAACAUCUAUGCGAGUGUUUGGGUGUCAAGCCCAGACGCGUAAUGAAAGUGAACGGAGGUGGGAACCCUUUGGGUGCACCAUCGACCGAUCCUGAUGUCUUCGGAUGGAUUUGAGUAAGAGCAUGGCUGUUGGGACCCGAAAGAUGGUGAACUAUGCUUGAAUAGGGUGAAGCCAGAGGAAACUCUGGUGGAGGCUCGCAGCGGUUCUGACGUGCAAAUCGAUCGUCAAAUUUGGGCAUAGGGGCGAAAGACUAAUCGAACUAUCUAGUAGCUGG